UAGUUGCUAGUUGGAGUGUCUAGUGUUCACACUAAGUGCAAACAUGGCGAUGUUUACGGUAAUCUCCUUGUUGGUCGCCUGUAGUGUCUUUGCCACAGGAACUGAAGUGUGGGACUGCCAGCCCAAUCCAUGCCUAAAUGGAGGCACUUGCUUCACAAGUUACACAGACCAUACCAUGUAUAUGUGCGUUUGUUCCAGUGGGGUAAGCGGUGACAACUGUGAAAAUAAUAAUUCAUUUGAUAUGAAAAGGGAUGCCUCCACUACUUCCGUCAAAAAGGUUCCGGAGUGAUCAAGUUCCGAUCAGAUUUCAGAUGCUGUCUCAAAGCCGUAAGUAGUACGUAAGUCACUGAGCGUGCAAGGUUAUGAUUCAUUUGCAGAAAACUUUUCCAACCCGGAUCUGAUCACUUCGAAAUGGCACCGACUACGGACAACAAAGAGGACUUUAUGCCCAAUCAUCAUGUUAAUAUAGCAUUAUUUUGGAGUAUUUUUUUGUUUUGCUUUUUAUCCAUAUUUUUUACUCUCGCUUUUCUGUAUUCUUGAAUGUGUUUAUGUGUUCUUAAACUCAUCCAACUACAUAGUCGAACUUAUUCUUCACAUACGUAUCAAGUGACACUAGCCAGAGAAUAAACUAUUCUCGCAAGAAAUACCUUGACCAAGCAAUUUGCAAGAAAUUCAAACCCUACAAAUACGAAGUGUGUCCACACUUCAUAAAGCCAUUUGACAAAUGGCUUUAUGAAGUGUGGACACGUAAGACUCCAUGUAUAAUUAAUUUCUGAAAUGAAGAUUUACAUUUCUUGGCUUUGUUAGCAGAGGAGUCAUUCAUCUCAACCGUCAAGGAAAUACUGGGAGAAAUAAAGUGUGAUCAUGCAGCGUGAAUUCAUUAUCAGCUGUACUUGAGUACUUUUAACACAGAACCUGAAAUAGGAAAAAGCAAUUUGAAAACAAUCCUGGGAAAGAGUAAAUAACGACGCUGAUUUAACAUUUCUGCUGUACCAACAUGAUGCAUCAGAUGGAAAGCCUGGACAAUCUAUAUGUUUUUGUACACGUACGUUUGCCUGUACUCUUCAUUUUAAAGAAAAGCAAAAAUUUUAUCAUUUCUGUAAAUGUUUUGACUCACCCAAUAAAUUUCAGGAAAGUUUCGACGUGUCUUGGUUUCAAAACCAGCAUUCAAUGAAUUUACUAAUUCUUAAUCAGUGUUGCAUCAUCAUACACCUGCCAUUUCCAAUAAAACUGAAAAAGUUUCAAGCCUGUCGACAAGAUUUUUCUUUCAAAUCUAAACAACAAGAAAUGAAACAUAAAUUGUAAUAUGUUAGUCUUUGUGAUUCUAGAGGUGAGUACGACAUUUUCACUCCACUAGUUUGGGAUAAAAAGUAUGUAAAAAUGGAGGAUGUCGAAUAUCAUAUUGGCGUUUCUGUCAUUUAGCUUAAGCUGAACUCUGGUGAACUGUGGUAUAUUUUAGGUUUUUUUUCUUGGUAGAAAUAAAAAGACAGUUUAAAAUGCA